rnacentral:lncRNA from 1 species
CACUGUAAAUAAAAGUGUUAAGAAUCUGAACACUUUUUGAACGCCCUUUUGUAACACUUCUGGAACGCGUAACGGUGUUCUCAAUAUUAACAUUGGUGUUCCAGUUUUUAACAUUAUGUGUGCAUCUUUCGAACGCUAUGUGUGUUAUUUUUGAACGGAUAGUGUGUACUCCUUGAACACCUAGUGUUUGAAUCUGGAACGCGUAACAGUGUUCUAGAUAUUAACUUUCGUGUUCCAGUUUUUAACAUCAUGUGUGCAUCUUUCGAACGCUAUGUGUUAUUCUUGAACGGAUAGCGUGUACUUCUUGAACGCCUAGUGUUUGAAUCUGGAACAUGUCCUUGUGAGCAAAAUUGUAUGCCGUUACGCGUUCUAAGCCUUGUAACACUUCUGGAACGCUCGGACUGUGUUCCAGAAAUAUGUGUUAAUAUCCAGAACACAUAGUGUAUAUUACUGGAACACAAUUUUACAUGUUCCAGAAAAAGUGUUAUAUUCUCUGAAACAUUAUUGUGGUCUUGUAAAACAAAUAUUUUAAUUGAUUAAAAACGUCUUUAAUUGAUUAAAAAAGGC